AACGCUGGCGGCGUGCCUAACACAUGCAAGUCGCACGAGAAAGGGUCUUCGGAUCUGAGUAAAGUGGCGCACGGGUGAGUAACACGUGACUAAUCUACCUCCGAGUGGGGAAUAACUGAGGGAAACCUUAGCUAAUACCGCAUAACACUUACGAGUCAAAGCAGCAAUGCGCUUGGAGAGGAGGUCGCGGCAGAUUAGCUAGUUGGCGGGGUAAAGGCCCACCAAGGCGAUGAUCUGUAUCCGGCCUGAGAGGGCGCACGGACACACUGGAACUGAAACACGGUCCAGACUCCUACGGGAGGCAGCAGUGGGGAAUUUUGCGCAAUGGGGGAAACCCUGACGCAGCAACGCCGCGUGGAGGAUGAAGUCUCCUUGGGACGUAAACUCCUUUCGNAUAGGGNAAGGAUAAUGACGGUANCUAUAGAAGAAGGNNCCGGCU
rnacentral:rRNA from 1 species